UUACAUAAAAAAAUCUAAUACAAAAGACUGUGAGUAAAAAACAGACUAUGUAUCAUUAUAUGCAAAAUGGUUAGAAGAAAAGCAAGAUUUGACUGAAAUAAUGAAUACGGUUAUCUGGUGGAAGUAUUUUUCUGAUUGAACCAUUCUCUUCCAAAUGUCGAUAUAUAUAAUCGGCAAUUAUACAAGAAAAUCAAGAAAAUGCCUUCGAUUUACCUAACUUAUUCACUAUACACAACUUCUUUACCAAAACAUACAGACUAUCAAAGAGCUUUACGGCACCUCACUAGGAAGCUGUGCUAUACUUCCUGGAAAAUGGCGUCAUAUAUAUAAAUUGCGAGAUAUCUCAGAACAUGCCCAUAAUCACGAGCAAAUACCGCAUGACGCUGAAUUUACAUUGUGAUAGCGAUUAAAUUUCACACUAGCGUACUCUAAAACUCUAGCUAUGUAUGAAUUCUUAAUGACACAACGCACAAUACAAGAAACGAUUCCUUUAAUUAACAUAGAGAUAUCAACAACUAUAGUGAAACAUACACAGAAUAUUUCUCUUUGCAACGAUUCCUAUUAUUCAUAAAAUGUUCUGACAUAAACACAUCUCAUUAUAUGUAAUUUGCAUUUCUAACUAUGAAUUACUGUAUGAACUCUGAAUUCAUUCAAUAUUAUGAAAUAUUAA
rnacentral:misc_RNA from 1 species